rnacentral:rRNA from 1 species
GAUGAACGCUAGCGACAGGCCUAACACAUGCAAGUCGAGGGGCAUCGGGACGUAGCAAUACGUUGCCGGCGACCGGCGGAUGGGUGAGUAACGCGUAUGCAACCUACCCGUAGCAGGGGGAUAGCCCGUUGAAAGACGGAUUAAUACCCCGUAACACAGGGGCUCCGCAUGGAGAUUAUUGUUAAAGGGUCAUUUCUUUUUCAGGGAUGGUCCGGCUGCGGAUGGGCAUGCGUUCCAUUAGGUAGUUGGUGUAGGUAACUGCUCACCAAGCCGACGAUGGAUAGGGGAACUGAGAGUUGGUCCCCCACACUGGUACUGAGACACGGACCAGACUCCUACGGGAGGCAGCAGUGAGGAAUUUUGGUCAAUGGACGCAAGUCUGAACCAGCCAUGUCGCGUGAAGGAGGACGGCCCUAAGGGUUGUAAACUUCUUUUGCAGUGGAAUAAAGUUUGCCUACGUGUUGGCGAUUUGCAAGUACGCUGCGAAUAAGGAUCGGCUAACUCCGUGCC